rnacentral:rRNA from 1 species
ACGAAGGGUGCAAGCGUUACUCGGAAUUACUGGGCGUAAAGCGUGCGUAGAUGGUUCGUUAAGUCUGCCGUGAAAGCCCCGGGCUCAACCUGGGAAUGGCGGUGGAUACUGGCGGACUAGAGUGCGGUAGAGGGUGGUGGAAUUCCCGGUGUAGCAGUGAAAUGCGUAGAGAUCGGGAGGAACAUCUGUGGCGAAGGCGGCGCUCUGGAACGGCCCUGACGCUGAGGCUCGAAAGCGUGGGGAGCAAACAGGA